GGGGAUUUAGCUCAGUGGUAGAGCGCUUGCCUAGCAUGCACAAGGUCCUGGGUUCGGUCCCCAGCUCCG
rnacentral:tRNA from 1 species